CCUACGGGUGGCAGCAGUGGGGAAUUUUGGACAAUGGGCGCAAGCCUGAUCCAGCCAUGCCGCGUGCGGGAAGAAGGCCUUCGGGUUGUAAACCGCUUUUGUCAGGGAAGAAACGCUCCGGGCUAAUACCUCGGGGUAAUGACGGUACCUGAAGAAUAAGCACCGGCUAACUACGUGCCAGCAGCCGCGGUAAUACGUAGGGUGCAAGCGUUAAUCGGAAUUACUGGGCGUAAAGCGUGCGCAGGCGGUUUUGUAAGACAGAGGUGAAAUCCCCGGGCUCAACCUGGGAACUGCCUUUGUGACUGCAAGGCUUGAGUGCGGCAGAGGGGGAUGGAAUUCCGCGUGUAGCAGUGAAAUGCGUAGAUAUGCGGAGGAACACCGAUGGCGAAGGCAAUCCCCUGGGCCUGCACUGACGCUCAUGCACGAAAGCGUGGGUAGCAAACAGGAUUAGAUACCCCGGUAGUC
rnacentral:rRNA from 1 species